ACCCAACCAAUCCUAAUUGUUUGUGUGAUAAACUACUGAAAAUGAGGGACAAACCAGCCAUCUAGCAAGCCUUGACCCUUCACCUAUUUUGGUUCCACCAAGUUACCAAAAAGCAGACAAAAUGCCCUUUUAGUGAAAAUUUCCGGAGUUUUUAUGUUUCCUUGUUCUAUUCCAUUCCCAAGUAAAUUGUUAUCAUUUAUACAUUAUUAACCCAUGAUUCUCAUCCAUCCUUCAUGUAGAAAAACUAAAUAGCCCAUAUUGGACAGCAAGCAUGCUAUUAGUCAUGAUUGUGAGUUUCCUUAGAUUUGCUUGAAACGAGGAGUUUGGAUGUUUUGACUUAGUGCUAGGUAUGGAAGGAAGAUAGAUGGGUUGGUUUGUGUUUGGUAGUGACUUUCUCUAAGUGAAGAGGGAGUGAAGGAAAAUAUGAAGUGGGUAUUGAUAUGUUCGUUUCAAUUUCAUUGAAUAGGACUUAUUGAGGUGCAAAGAGGGACUAAGGAAAUGACGAAGAUGAGACUGUGGAGCAAGACAUUGCUGGGGAGGGGGGAGCCAGAUGCCUAGAGUAGCCUGGGGAUGGGUCUCUUUUAUCUAAUGUUAGAUUAUUUGGUUGGUUGGUUUG